rnacentral:rRNA from 1 species
CCUACGGGAGGCAGCAGUGGGGAAUCUUGCGCAAUGGGCGAAAGCCUGACGCAGCCACGCCGCGUGCGGGAUGAAGGCCCUAGGGUUGUAAACCGCUUUUAACAGGAACGAAAAUGACGGUACCUGUAGAAUAAGGUGCGGCCAACUACGUGCCAGCAGCCGCGGUGACACGUAGGCACCAAGCGUUGUCCGGAUUUAUUGGGCGUAAAGAGCUCGUAGGCGGUUCAGUAAGUCGGGUGUGAAAACUCUGGGCUUAACCCAGAGACGCCACUCGAUACUAUUGUGACUAGAGUUCGGUAGGGGAGCGGGGAAUUCCUAGUGUAGCGGUGAAAUGCGCAGAUAUUAGGAGGAACACCGGUGGCGAAGGCGCCGCUCUGGGCCGAUACUGACGCUGAGGAGCGAAAGCGUGGGUAGCAAACAGGAUUAGAUACCCUGGUAGUCCACGCCGUAAACGGUGGGCACUAGGUGUGGGUUCCAACCAACGGAAUCCGCGCCGUCGCUAACGCAUUAAGUGCCCCGCCUGGGGAGUACGGCCGCAAGGUUAAAACUCAAAUGAAUUGACGG